UAAUUUUAAGACGGCAAACUAAAGGUCUUCAUCCUUCCCUUAUGUUUCAUCCUUUUCUACCAAUUUUGCCCCCAAUCAAUGUACGCUGCCCACAAAGAAGGCUCCAACUGAAUGCACAAUUGAAUCGUUUUGCAUCCAAGCCUCAAACCAUCAGAGUUGCACUUGAAAUUAAUGAAUGGGAGUUCAAAUCGAUUAAUGGUAGUUAGAUUCGAGAAAAGUUGAAGAACCGUCGUUCUAGGGUUCCAACCAUUUGACCUCCUUCAACCCUAAAUCGAUGGCCGUACAACCUGCCAAACGACGGCAGUUCGACAGUGUUUUCCAAUCGAUGGCCGCGCAACCUGCCAGACGACGGCAGUUUGACAGUGUUUCCCCAUAUCUCCGUCAUCCUCUACCGCUAUAAAUGAUGGCUUAGCUAGGGAACAGUUUCGGUAGGUUGUGGUUUUCUGAAUCUUUCUCUCACCUUCUGAUCAUCAUCAUCAACAAAAGUCUCAUGCUUCUGUUUCUGAUAUAGAUCUGUUGGCUGAUCUUGAUGCCAACGGUAACCCACAACCAGUUUCUCUAUAAGGUACAAUUUUUUUAUUAAAUAGAAUAUUUUUGUUUAUUGUAGUUUUGAUUAGGUUGCCUUUGUAGUUAUAUACUAUAUUCAUUGUAUUAUUAUUGUAUCAUCGUAUGUGUAGAUGAUGAAUAAUGCACAAUACCUUAGGGGUUUUCGUUAUUAAAAAAAAUCAUUUUAGUCAAAUUUUGUGGGAUAAAAAUGUUGAAAUGUAAGCUUAUUAUAAGCAAGUUUGAGUCUUUUGUGUUGUAGAGACUGUGUAUUCGAUUUGCGUAGCACGAACAUCGCUCAUAAUUGGCCAUCUUCGCACAAAACAUUACAAACUUGCUUGCAACAUGAAGUGAAGAACAUGUUACCACCUUUCCAGUCUCUUGAAUCACUUAGAAAUAACUCAUCUAAUGAAGAAAUCAUCAGCCCUUGUAACGGGAAUUCGAAGUCGAAUCUAGAGCUGACUUUAGAAUCUAGAAAGUCAAAGAAAUCCCACACACAGAAAGUCAGAAAGUCAAGCUAGCACUAUGCAAGUCCCUAGAUCUUCUUAUAACAUGUUCGACUACAGGGAGCGCGUUAUUGAUGUCACAAAUGAUAUUGAGAGACAACAACAACAUUAUCAUGAUAUAUUGAUAUGUCUGAUUCUCCGGUUUCAACCGUUUCUAAUCCGAGUUUGACAAGAUCAGAGUCAGACAAGUUUUCUGCAAGAUCUACUACUCGAAACAAUGAAACAGAUGCCCUUGUUGCCUUAACAAGUUCUGGUGAUUGGAGAUCGAAAUGAUGAAACAGACAAGUUUUCUGAGUGAUCCAUGCUGUGAUUAUUUCAGACAAAAAAUGAGUGAACGAUGAAGACUGCUUCUCAAGUUCUCAUUAUAUAGAAGAACACAACUACAGCAGGUACCACCACUACCCAUUUUUUUAGGAACCGAGCAGUUAAAUCCACCACUACCCAUUUUUUUAGGUGCUGAACUGCCAAAAACAUGGACAGAAAAACUGCUCAGAACGUGGGAUGGUGCUGUUCGAGUUCAGUUAUGUAGGAACAUGGACAGAAAAACAUGCUUGCUGCAAGUAACCGCUUAGAACUGCCUUCAACAGCGGUUAAAAUUAAGAGUUUAAACGGCCCAGAUUUAAUCUCAGCAUAAUCGAACGGAUGAUAUUGAUUUCAAAGGUAGUUAGACUUAAUGGGUUCCAUAUAUAUAUAUAAUUUUUAAGACGGCAACUCAAGAGUCAUGCUUGUUACCCUAAUCUUCCAUCCCCUUCUCCCAUAUUUGCCCUCAAUGAUGUCUGUGGUCUAAAUCAAUCUUGCAUAACAAAAUCUCCAGCCAAACAGUCGGUGUAAAUUGAAGAGUCAAUUGAUGACGAUGUAAAUUGAAGACGCGAUGAUUGAAACGGUGGAAGCAAUUACCAAAUAAUCAAUUAGGUUUGAUGAUUAAAAUCAACUGAAUUGAAUUAAAGACGUCAAUUGAAUCUGCCCAGAUGUUUCAGACCCACAAUUAUUUAAGAUGGAAUCCAUGAUUGAAUUGGGUGGUCAUUUUUGCGAGUUCAGUUGCCUAUAAUCAGGUUUGAAUAUCGACUUUUGUACGAAAGGGAAGUCUGGAAAGACCCUGAUGGUGCAGUGAUUGAUCUUGGAGAGCGUGACGAUGAGAUGAUGAUAAGGAUGGUAUGAACUUUGUUUGAUUUAGAUAUUUUGUUUCAAUUUGGAUGCCGGUGAUACUAUUGUUUGAGUAGAAAGAAUGUUAGGGUUUCGUUUUCGUUUAUGUGUUUUCCCCCAAUUUCAGAUAUUAUGAAAUUAUUACCAUUUAUUUGCAGACCUAAUGAAAGUUUGAUAUUAUUAAGUUCAUGUAUAUUAAUUCAUUUUGUACGUUGAGAGCCUUAACAAAGUGACUAGGCGGCAAACAUUUGUCUGGGAGCAUCAGGUCAUGAAACAAACGCCUGUGACACUGUGGUGCAUGCAGGGUCUGGUUCGGGUAAGAACCCUCGAUUCACCUUCUUACUAACCCAUCCAUCGAAUCUAUACACUUGUAUGUGUAAAUUGCAAUUAAAUGAAGAGAGAGUGAGAGUUAUAAAGAGAAAGAAGGAGAGAGAUGCAGACGAUCAAGAGAGAAUGGAGGAAUUCAGAAGAGUGACGGUGAUGCCGACGACAUGAAGGCGUAGGAUCCGGUGAGGCGUUUAGAAUUCCGGCCAGCAUUUCGACCAUACCCUGAACCCCGAUCAAGAUCCGACAGAGAACCGACAAGGUUUCGACGAGUCUCCGGUUAAGGUUUUGUUACAGAUUUUGUAAAGCUAUCUCUCUGACUAAGAAUCUGGCGUUUAAAGGUAAGUCCGGACUAAUCACCAUUUAUAGUCAUUUGUUAAAUUUGCUUUUUUGGUUUCACAGUUAAGAGAUAUUGAAGAGAAAGUGAUGCUUUAAAGUAAAGAAAGGGUAUAAUAGCUUCUUGCUGAAUUCAUAAGUAGAUAUCAUGGAUCGUGGUGUCAGCAGUGGAGGGGGAUAGAGUUCACUUGACUACCUCUUUGGAAGUGAUGAGCCAAAGACCAGUAAAGAAAGAGGUGGUGCCUAAAGUCGUUGUACCCCAGCCAGAUAAUACAAAACAGAUCCCAGAUAAUACAAAACAGAUUCCUACUGGGAUCCAUAUUGCUAAGAGUACAUUGCAAGCUUUGAUAGCUUUGUUAAUAAUUUUUUUAGUCUUUGUCUCUUUUAUCAAUAUUAAAAAAAAAUUAAGAAAAAGUUGACGAGCCGGCUUGAUUAGGCUCGAAGUUUUUAUGAGCCGAGCUUGAGCUCAACUUUUCAGCUAAAAAAAAUAAACGAGCCGAGCUCGAGCUCGACUUUUUACUUGAAAAAAUAAACGAGCCGAGUUGAGCUGGCUUGUUUAACUUUAAGUUCGAACUCGAGCGUAAGCCGUAAGUGAAUCUGAAACAUGCCAUUAAUUGUUUGUUUAGGAAUUGUCGGUCAUGUUUAGUAACCGGUCUAUCAAACAUAUUCCUGUUCUUUUAUACUAAUCUAAUUUUGUAAUUUAUAUUAUAUAGCAAAGAGUGGGGCAUGGUUGAGUCUUCAGGAUCAUCCCUUUAUAAACAGAAGAUGGAUUAUUAUUAUAUAUUACCAUAGUUUUUGUAACUAAUGCAGGCAUAUCAUUUAUUUAUGGUAUUAAAAAAGAUUAAUAAAAGAUGUGCUCUUAAAUUUGUUCUACCCAUUAUAAGCCAAGAUUCGGAGUAGCAUUAGCCACUGGGGUGGACGUGAUGUAUCCGUAGAACAACAAGCUGACCAAUUGGAUUCGACUGUUUCGGGUCAAACAUCAAAACCAACAUCAACCGUCGAUAAAUCUAAACAAAGAUCACGACCCGUUAGAAAGAGUGAAAUGCCACCCAUGAAAGACGAAGCAUGUUGGUUGAUCAUUGUUGUAAAGUUUUGAGCAACCGCGAGUCUUGAAAGAUUAACAUAUUAUGGGAUAAGUUCCAAUCUGUUGCUGUAUUUUACGGGUGAACUCGACCAGCACUGCACUACGGCCUCAAGAAAUUUAUCAAAUUGGCCUCGUGCAUGCUACAUCACCCCAUUGUUUAGAGCAUUUCUUGCGGAUGGCUAUAUUGGAAAAUAUUGGACUAUAGCUAGCUCUUCAAUUUUGUAUGCCAUUCAUCUGCACCCGGAUUGUUGUCAAGUUUCUUCUCAACGGAUGUUUUUGAUGCAUCAUAGGCUCAGACCGUAACGUGCUUCACAUCACUAUACUUAGUGGCACUAGCAAGUGGAGGAAUCAAGGCAUGCAUCUCAGCCUACGGAGCAGACCAAGAUGAUGAAUAUUGGCACUCUCACCGCUCAUUCUUUGAUUGUUUGGGUACAAGAUUACGUGGGUUUGAUUUGGGGCUUUGGUAUACCUACUUUAGCCAUGGCAGUGGGUGUAGUUUCGUUCUUCUCCGGUACCUGGUUUUAUAGGAACCAUAAGCCUGCGGGCAGCCCGUUGAUGACCCGUUUGAUUCAAGUGGUGGUUGUUUCAGUAAGAAAGAGAAGAGUCAAUGUGCCAACAGAUGCAUUACUUUUGUUUGAGAUUGCUGAUGCUAAUUCAACUACCGUAAGAAGCCGCAAACUUAACCAUACCAGUAAUUUCAGGUCAGUGUCAGCUUCUAAUAAAGGUGGGAAGUACCGUAAGAAGCCGCAAACUUAACCAUACCGGUAAUUUUGGGUCAAAACAGUUAAACGACUUGCGUUCUUUAACGAUAUCGAUUGUCGAUACUGCAUAUGUAACGAAACAAACCAGACCGAUGCCAAGCGAACGUCUACCGGUUCGGUAUUCUUUUUUCUUAUUUUCGAUUUAUAUGCGUUUUUAUUGUUAUCGAUCAAUUGUUAUUUUUUUCUCUUUCGAUUGUUA